rfam:Rattus norvegicus chromosome X, whole genome shotgun sequence.
GGGGAUUUAGCUCAGCGGUAGAGCACUUGCCUAGCAAGCGCAAGGCCCUGGGUUCGGUCCCCAGCUCCG